rnacentral:rRNA from 1 species
GACAGAGGGUGCAAGCGUUGUUCGGAAUUAUUGGGCGUAAAGGGCUCGUAGGUGGCCAACUAAGUCAGACGUGAAAUCCCUCGGCUUAACCGGGGAACUGCGUCUGAUACUGGAUGGCUUGAGUUCGGGAGAGGGAUGCGGAAUUCCAGGUGUAGCGGUGAAAUGCGUAGAUAUCUGGAGGAACACCGGUGGCGAAGGCGGCAUCCUGGACCGACACUGACACUGAGGAGCGAAAGCCAGGGGAGCAAACGGG